GUGAGGAAUAUUGGUCAAUGGGCGCAAGCCUGAACCAGCCAUCCCGCGUGCAGGAAGACGGCGCUAUGCGUUGUAAACUGCUUUUCCAGGGAGAGAAACUUGCGCACGUGUUGCGCAAUUGACGGUACCCUGGGAAUAAGCAUCGGCUAACUCCGUGCCAGCAGCCGCGGUAAUACGGAGGAUGCGAUCGUUAUCCGGAUUCGUUGGGUUUAAAGGGUGCGUAGGCGGACUAUUAAGUCAGUGGGGAAAUCCUGCAGCUUAACUGCAGAACUGCCAUUGAUACUGAUAGCCUUGAGUUUGGUUAAGGUAGGCGGAAUGUGUAAUGUAGCGGUGAAAUGCUUAGAUAUUACACAGAACACCAAUUGCGUAGGCAGCUUACUGAGCCGACACUGACGCUGAGGCACGAAAGCGUGGGGAUCGAACAGGAUUAGAAACCCUGGUAGUCC
rnacentral:rRNA from 1 species